CCUACGGGGGGCAGCAGUGAGGAAUAUUGGUCAAUGAGCUUACGCCUGAACCAGCCAAGUCGCGUGAGGGAAGACUGCCCUAUGGGUUGUAAACCUCUUUUGUCAGGGAUCAAUUGGCGCUACGUGUAGCGUUAUCGAGAGUACCUGAAGAAAAAGCAUCGGCUAACUCCUGGCCAGCAGCCGCGGGAAUACGGAGGAUGCGAGCGUUAUCAGGAUUUAUGGGGUUUAAAGGGUGGGUAGGCGGAAUGCAAAUGCAGCGGUAAAAUCGCGGGGCUCAACCUCGCUCCGCCGUUGAACCUGGCGUUCUUGAGUGGGCGAGAAGUAUGCGGAAUGCGUGGUGUAGCGGUGAAAUGCAUAGAUAUCACGCAGAACUCCGAUUGCGAAGGCAGCAUACCGGCGCCCAACUGACGCUGAAGCACGAAAGCGUGGGUAUCGAACAGGAUUAGAUACCCGAGUAGUCC
rnacentral:rRNA from 1 species